rnacentral:rRNA from 1 species
UAGGGAAUCUUCGGCAAUGGACGAAAGUCUGACCGAGCAACGCCGCGUGAGUGAAGAAGGUUUUCGGAUCGUAAAACUCUGUUGUUAGAGAAGAACAAGGACGUUAGUAACUGAACGUCCCCUGACGGUAUCUAACCAGAAAGCCACGGCUAACUACGUGCCAGCAGCCGCGGUAAUACGUAGGUGGCAAGCGUUGUCCGGAUUUAUUGGGCGUAAAGCGAGCGCAGGCGGUUUCUUAAGUCUGAUGUGAAAGCCCCCGGCACAACCGGGGAGGGUCAUUGGAAACUGGGAGUCUUGAGUGCAGAAGAGGAGAGUGGAAUUCCAUGUGUAGCGGUGAAAUGCGUAGAUAUAUGGAGGAACACCAGUGGCGAAGGCGGCUCUCUGGUCUGUAACUGACGCUGAGGCUCGAAAGCGUGGGGAGCAAACAGG